GAAAGGAAAGGAAAGAGUGAUGAGGAGGGAAGAGGACAACCAACAAAUCUGUUGGUUGUUCUCUUCCCUCCUCAUCCCUUAUUCCUUUUCUAUCA